GACGAACCGUGCGAACGUUGUUCGGAUUCACUGGGCUUAAAGGGCGCGUAGGCGGGUCAUCAAGUCUGGGGUGAAAUGCUUCGGCUCAACCGGAGCAGUGCCCCCGAUACUGGUGGUCUGGAGGGAGGUAGGGGUGUGUGGAACUUCCGGUGGAGCGGUGAAAUGCGUAGAUAUCGGAAGGAACGCCGGUGGCGAAAGCGACGCACUGGACCUUUUCUGACGCUGAGGCGCGAAAGCCAGGGGAGCAAACGGG
rnacentral:rRNA from 1 species